rnacentral:tmRNA from 1 species
GGGGUUGUUACGGAUUCGACAGGCAUAGUUGAGCUGGGGUUGCGUUCUGCAGGUGACGGCUGCAUAAUAACGUCAACAAUUAAACUAAUUGCAAACAAUAAUAGCAACACAUACGCUUUAGCUGCGUAAAAACAGCUUAGCGUGAUCCGACCGGCAUCGCCCAUGUGCUCGGUAUCGGGUCCUAUAAUAAGUGGGAUACGUCUAUUCUUUCCGUCUGUAAGAAUAGAAAGAGAUUAGCAGACUAGCGAUGCAUGAUGCCUGUUCUACGGCUAAUGUUCAGCGAAACCUAAAUGGUGGAACUAUGAACGUAGAUGCUCGAGUGUCAAGGUGUCUGGACAGGGGUUCGACUCCCCUCAACUCCAUAA